UACGUAGGGUGCAAGCGUUAAUCGGAAUUACCGGGCGUAAAGCGUGCGCAGGCGGCUUUGCAAGACAGAUGUGAAAUCCCCGGGCUUAACCUGGGAACUGCAUUUGUGACUGCAUGGCUGGAGUGCGGCAGAGGGGGAUGGAAUUCCGCGUGUAGCAGUGAAAUGCGUAGAUAUGCGGAGGAACACCGAUGGCGAAGGCAAUCCCCUGGGCCUGCACUGACGCUCAUGCACGAAAGCGUGGGAGCAAACAGG
rnacentral:rRNA from 1 species